rnacentral:rRNA from 1 species
UACAGAGGUCCCAAGCGUUGUUCGGAUUCACUGGGCGUAAAGGGUGCGUAGGUGGUCAGGUAAGCCGGAUGUGAAAUCUCCGAGCUCAACUCGGAAACUGCAUUGGAAACUACCUGGCUCGAGGGUUGGAGGGGGGACUGGAAUGCUUGGUGUAGCAGUGAAAUGCGUAGAUAUCAAGCGGAACACCAGUGGCGAAGGCGAGUCCCUGGACAACUCCUGACACUGAUGCACGAAAGCUAGGGGAGCAAACAGG